GAGUUUAGAAAAUGGUGUGAUCUCUUGAAACGUUCUUAUAACGCGCCCUCUUUUCUUUAUGUUUGUUGUAUCUAAUCUCUCGAAUGUAAUGUAGCAAUAGUAUUACUUACGUUAGAUGAUUUCUCUUGAUUUCUCUCGUCAAUCUUCCAUAAUCCUGAUAAUUGUUAUUACGGGAAUAGUUAAGAAGAGUACUAAUUUACUUCGCGAUGCAAGUGUCAAGUCCAUAUUUUCUAAUCGUCAGUUCUGAAGAUACGUGAUAUAAACAAAUAGGGUUCGCUAUUCCAUUUCGGAUCAUCUGAAUAAAAUUGUGCGAAGAAAAUAAUAAUCAAAUUUGCGAGAGAAUUAGCAAAAUGUCAGAAUCAACGAGUGGUCCACAACGUCUGUCCAAUACACCAGACAUAAUGGAUUUAGUUAGACUCCUUCGUCAAAAUGGUGAUAAAGUUUUAAGCGCAUCGAGCAAACUAUCCUUAUCGACUACACUACUUUACAACUUAAACGAAGCGUUUUUAUUGAUUGUGGACGAUGCGGAAGACUUAGAAUCUUCCUUUCAAGUUUGCAAUAGUUCCAAAAUAGACUUAUUCAGAGAUCUGAAAUUUUUACACGACUUUGUUCAAAAGACAGUUGGUCUAAAACUUACUCAUUACUCCGGCAAUGCCAAAGUUCAUAUUGAUAUUACCAAAUUUAGAUGUUUGAAAUACCUGGAGUUAAAAAAAGUUUGUAUUGCGCUAGUGAAAGGAAUACAAGGUAUCAGAGGCCAGUUAGAAAGUAUUACGUGUGCUGGAAGACAGGGUGUUACUACCGUAGCACAGUUAUUAGUGACAUGUGGUGGCGAUGCCGGGGUAGGAUUUGUAUGGGCUUCUUUGAGGCACUUAUCGUUAGCUCAUAAUGCUCUUGAAAAAUUAGACAGAUCCUUUGAAUUAACACCAUGGCUACAAAUAUUAGAUUUGAGUCAUAAUUUGCUAACAAGUGCAGCAGAGCUCGACUGUUUGCCUAAUCUAAAAUAUGUAAAUCUUGGAUAUAACAAAUUGGAAAUGGUUCCUGUCUUUAAUAAAUCCGCAACGCAUUCUCUUCAAAUAUUAGUUUUAAAAAAUAAUUACAUCGAAGACAUUAGUGGUUUACAAGGCUUGGAAUGUUUAACUGAGAUAGAUUUAUCAUUCAACUGCUUAACGGAACAUUCUGUCUUGUGGCCUAUUGAAAGAAUGUCAGCAUUGUUAUGGAUAUCUUUAGAAGGAAAUCCGUUGUCAUAUCAUCCAAAACAUCGAUUAUUUUCCAUAAAACAUUUUCAUCCAUGUUUAAUCGAUAAUAAGUUUGUUUUAGAUCAUUGGCCUUUGUCAAAAUCGGAGAAAAUGCUUGUAGGAGACAAUCGUGUUUUUCCUAUUAGAAAUAUAAAGUCUAGCGGGUCUAGAGAAAACUUUGUUUCUCUGUCAAAUUCAGCUACUUCUGAUAAUACACUUUCAUCUCUUGAUUCUUCUAUUUCUAAAGAUUUCCUGAUCAAAAAUCGGGGAUCAGAUAUAAGUGCUAGAGUGGAAAAAAGUUUCAUAAAAAAUAAAAAAAAGACGAACGUAAAGGAAGCUGUUAUCGCAGAAGAAGAUCAUGAAAAAAAAGAUUCAAUAAAUAAAUCAGAUGUAUCAUCCUCUUCGCAUUUAGAGACCAAGAAACAAAUAUUAGCAUUACGAGAGAAAUUUGGUGAAGUAAAUUGGCUAAGCAGUCAAGCUGGAACCUUCGUUCAAGAUAUUAUGGGUCUGCAAUCGUCAUCAUCAUCUACGAUUAAAUAUCACGAUGAUACAAAUUCAAUAUCAUCUAAGGACAAUAUUGAUUUGAUAUCCUCGAUAGAAAAUAAAGAUUUGGAUCAUACGAAUUCAGAAAAUGUAAUAAAUCAUAUUGCCGUAAAUUGCAAAGAUAAUGGAAAUGCUGAUAAAGUAGAAGAAAUGCACGAUAACGAAGUACUGAAUAGCGAAUUGAUAACUCCUCUUGAAAAUCCUGCUAAUGCUUUGUUUGAUCUCGAAUUAGAGAAGGGUGAUCUGUAUUUAGUACAAAAUAGGAAAAACUUGAAUGAGAUGGAAGAAUUAUUUUUAGAAUUAACAUCCGAUGAUAUCAAAGAAAGAGAUACUAUAACUGGAAAAGUAAAAUAUUCUUGGUCAAUUGCUUCUGUCCUGUCGUGUGUAUUAGGAAGAGGUGAAACAAGUACAGUAGACAUUAUAUUUGAUACAAAACGUAAAGAUAAACAAAAUAGAAGAUAUUUUAUAGAAUUGGAGGAUGCAAAGAAAAUUGUGUCAACAAUCAGCGAGAAAAUGAGUGCACAUCCUAUAUUGUUAAAAGUUUAUAAAUGUAUGAAGUGUUCCACGCAUUUCUCCCAUGAUGAAGAGUAUGCAGCCAUUACGUAUACGUCUGCAACUGCUAUUAAACAAUUGAAGUGUCCUACAUGCGCAAGUACAUUAGUUAUAGAAACAAAUGAAUUGUCAGAAAUGCGUUCUGAAAAUGAAGCCACUUCUGUACAUAAUAACAAAUAUAUGGAAAUGCCUGAAAGGGUUGAUUUGCAACAUUCUGAGUCGGUUUCUAGUAUUGGUGCAGGUGGAACAGAGGGUGGAGCUAUAUUCGUCACCACUUCUCUGGUGCACUACGACUCUCACCCCCAAGCCCAAGUCUGCUGCUCAGCAACUAGUUUAGAAGAAUCGAGAGAAUCAACGCCUUCGAUAAGUGCAUUAAUUAAAAAAUACGAAAGUGAUAUAGAAAUACUUAGUAACCCAAGUCAAAGUAGCAUCGAAGUUUUGGAUGAGGCUUCAAAAGCAAAUUUAACUCCUAAUAGAAAGAAAUCGUCGGAAGAAAAAUCCGUUGGCAUUGCUCCUUCGCUUCUAACGAUUACAGAUGCAAUUGGUCCAGUUAUGGUUGGAUUAACCGAAAGUAGUUCUUCAGGUUCAUUAACUGAUAGUAUCUGUACGGCAUAUGAAAAUAGAAACGUUAAGAAAUGUAAUAAUAAUGAAAUAAAUACCGAAAAAGAACUUGUACCUGCAACAAAUAUAUCUACGAUGCUUGGAGAACUCUUACAGAGUAUAAAAAUAGGAAGUAAUAAAUCUUUACUAAUAAAGACUGAGGAAGAAUCAAGUUCUUUAAAUAGCAGUGUGCAAUAUUCUUAUACAGAUUUCACUAGUGUUGAUCAUAGAGUGAAGCUUCAUAUAAUUCUAAAUGUCUUUGAAUAUGAAAGCGAAGAACUCGCUUUCCUUCUUAGGGCCGAUAUAUUGAUGCACAGUUUAAAGGAGGUAUUUCCAGGAUGUUUAGUUUUAUCUACAUCAAAGAUUUAUAUCCUUAAAAUUAAUGGACCAGAAGGAGAGGAUCCACAGCGUUGGUUGCACAAAGAAUGCAGCUGGGCUAUAGAUAAAUUGAAAUCUAUUGCGCCAUUGCCAUUUAAACAAGGCAUUUUAAUAGAGUUAGAACAGCCUACGAAAAUAAACGAAGAAUAUGUCAACAUCAGUUUCUUAUGCAUACUGCAAGAUUUUCAGAGAACGUCGAAUUUUUUAUUUUAUUUAACAGAUCCUCCACUACCUGCUAAUUGCAAAAUUGAAUUUUCUGUACCAGAACAUUGUAGUACUUUAAUGCACAGUUUAUUAUCACGUAUUAAAAAAGAUGAAAGCGAUGAUGACGCUGUCAGAAUAUUAGCGCUUUAUUCUUCUGCAGUACUGAAAUAUCAUAACAUUACUACAAUGUCACAGUAUUCUGGAUUAUUGGUAACAGCAUCCACGUUAGUAAUAUUAGAAGAUAAUAUGCAAUGGCUUUUACCAAAUACUAAAGUAGUGCCGGUAGUAUUGAAAGAACAAACUAUGAGUAAUUUAAUGGGGAUCGAACACUACGAUACAAUGCUGAUUUUAAAUUUUUUAAACGAGAUAGUCGGCUCGGAAGAAACUUGGACCUUGGAAUUUAAUUCUACAGGUGCUGUCGAGGCUGUCAUUAAUUCAAUACAAUCACCAUGGGAGGAACUAUUUUCAGUACCUCUACAAAUUACUACUAAAUCGAUACUGAAUAGUGAACAAUCGUAAAGCAGAUCAUUUCUAUCUACUGAUUUUUGAUUUAUAAUAAUGAUAAAACAAUGUGCUACGGCACAAAAUAUGACGAUAAAACUAUCGCAAAUCAUUUGAAAUGAUGCUGUAGAAUUUUUUAAACUGAAAUUAGAUGAAAGAUGUCAUUGGAAGAAAUUUAUAUCUAUAUCAUUGUUACAAUUAUUAGUAUUCUUCUCUUAUUCUUUAGUAUAUAAAGAUUUUCAUUUGAAAUACGUAUAUAAGAUGAUGUAUCUUUGAUCUUCAAUCAUCAGGAUUUCACAAAGAGUUUGCUACUAAUUAAUAUAUUCUUCGUAUAUCGAUCUUCGAUACGUAAAAGUCAAAUAUUUACACAUAUUUACAUCUUAAGAGUUGCGUGCUGCUUAUAGAUAAAAGGAAAAACAAACUAAUUAUAUACUAACUAUAUACAUCCUAUUUUGCAUGGACAACUCAUUUGGCUGUGGUAUGUGUAAUAUUUUAAGGAUAAUUGUACAUAUACCAUAGAAGUUAUUCAAUAUUUAACUGUAAUAAGAUUAUUCUUUUUUAUUUAUUUUUUUAUUUUUUUAUAACGAGAACUAUAACAUUGAUAAUGUUCAAUAUUGGUGAUAUUAUUAAUGUAUCGGUAUAAUUUAAAGCUCGUAUACUGUUUAAUUAAUUAUUUAACAAUAUAAUGUGUAAUUAUUUUUUCUUUAAACGUUUAUCAAUCUGUUUAAACAUGUUGUCCGUUCGUAAUCCUAAUAUUUGGAACAUUUCCAAGAAAUAUUUUGUUAAUUUAUUGUCUUGAAAUUAGGUAAUAUGUCUGUUACGUAUGUAAAUUACUCUUUUCUAUACCUGUUGUUACAUGCGAUGUCACUUGAGAAACAGAUGUUUAGAACGAAUGUAAUUACAUAAAUUUUUUAAAAUG